UUGCCGCAACGGAAUGCGCAGUCACCACAACAGGCCCAGAUGGGCCCUGGAGAGAGACGUAGCAGCCACACACACCCCUCCCUGCACCAAGAUACCUCAGCCUCACCUAGUGAUAGAGAGAGUGGCAGGAGAAGUGCCACGGGAUCACCUAGAGGAAGCAUCAAUGGAGAUGGGAGGGCUUCUCCUCAGGCAAGUUACCUCUUUCUC